rnacentral:rRNA from 1 species
UACGAAGGGGGGCUAGCGUUGCUCGGAAUCACUGGGCGUAAAGCGCACGUAGGCGGACUCUUAAGUCAGGGGUGAAAUCCUGGAGCUCAACUCCAGAACUGCCUUUGAUACUGGGAGUCUCGAGUUCGGGGAGAGGUGAGUGGAACUGCGAGUGUAGAGGUGAAAAUUCGUAGAUAUUCGCAAGAACACCAGUGGCGAAGGCGGCUCACUGGCCCGAUCUGACGCUGAGGUGCGAAAGCGUGGGGGAGCAAACAGGG